rnacentral:rRNA from 1 species
UACGUAGGGCGCAAGCGUUGUCCGGAAUUAUUGGGCGUAAAGAGCUCGUAGGCGGUCUGUCACGUCUGCCGUGAAAACCCGAGGCUUAACCUCGUGGCUUGCGGUGGAUACGGGCAGACUAGAGGUAGGUAGGGGAGAACGGAAUUCCCGGUGUAGCGGUGAAAUGCGCAGAUAUCGGGAGGAACACCGGUGGCGAAGGCGGGUCUCUGGGCCGAUACUGACGGCUGAGGAGCGAAAGCGUGGGGAGCAAACAGG